rnacentral:lncRNA from 1 species
CGCAAGCCAGGCUGGUAACGCGAGGAGAACCUCACGCUGGCUCGAGCAAAAUGAAAAGCCCGGACUCCUACGGGAGCCGAGUUCCAACGCCAAGGAAGACCUCGCCCGGACUCCUACGGGAGCCGGGUUCCAACGCCAAGGAAGACCUCACCCGGACUCCUACGGGAGUCGGGUUCCAAUGCCAAGGAAGACUUCACCCGGGCUCCUACGGGAGCCGGGUUCCAAUGCCAAGGAAGACUUCACCCGGACACCUACGGGAGCCAGGUUCCAACGCCAAGUAAGACUUCACCCGGACUCCUACGGGAGUCGGGUUCCGCCUACAAGGAAGACUUCGCCCGGACUCCUACGGGAGCCGGGCUCCAUCCGCGACUUCUGCAGCUAGGGUCAAUGACGACGAAACUCGACCGCCUAACAAGAUCGGACGAAAGGAAAAAGCCCCCCCCCCCGACGACAUCUACAUCAGACAAGCCAAACGUCAAGAAAGGUUCGACAGACAACAAUAUUAGCGCGGCGCGUGGACGAGGUAACGCAAAAUGCUCUUUUCAUUUCAUUUUCGAUAUAUACACACUACGAGGCCAGGACGGCCAAGGAAAGAAGGACAAAAUGACAAAAAGAAAAUAACUACAUGAUAAGACAGAAAGGCAAAGGAGCUCUAAGGAGGUCCUGCUCCCUCCGACCUAGGGUUAUCUACUCCGUCCCUCAACCAGGAUUGCCUCAGGUUCUCUAUUGCUUCUUCUAGUUCUUCCCUCUUCCGCAGUGCAUCCUGGAGCGCCCGAUGAAGCUGCUGGCUCUCAGCCUCCGCUUCUCGAUGCCACUU